rnacentral:rRNA from 1 species
CAAUAGCGUAUAUUAAAGUUGUUGCAGUUAAAAAGCUCGUAGUUGAAUUUUUGCUUGCCGCCGAUGUCGGAACUUCCGUACGUUCGGCGGCGUGCAUCCUUGGGUGGAACCGGUGUGGCAUUAGGUUGUCGUGCAGGGGAUGCUCAUCGUUUACUGUGAAAAAAUUAGAGUGUUCAAAGCAGGCUUACGCCGUUGAAUAUAUUAGCAUGGAAUAAUAAGAUAGGACCUUGGUACUAUUUUGUUGGUUUGCGCACCGAGGUAAUGAUUAACAGGGACAGUUGGGGGUAUUCGUAUUCCAUUGUCAGAGGUGAAAUUCUUGGAUUUCUGGAAGACGAACUACUGCGAAAGCAUUUACCAAGGAUGUUUUCAUUAA